rnacentral:lncRNA from 1 species
GGUUUCUUGGAAGGUCUGGUCUGCCCGGCAAUCUUUUCUCUUCCUGAACUCUCCUUGUGCUCAGAAUGGCUCCCCGACCACUUACAAAGUGGGUCCUGUGCGAACCAUUUUAUGUUCAUUGUCCUUUCUAGGGACUUGGCUCCAUGGAGUUCUUCAAAAGAGGAAUUAAAGACUCAGGGACCGUGCCAUUCGCUGUGCUUCUCAAAUCAUCAUCAGCUGCUUUUGAGGAUGAACAACAGAGCCCCAGGAGCUGCUCCCAUAAAUGACUUCCAAUACAUUGCGGAGAGAGACUAUUAUUCAGAUGCCUGCUAUUACACGGCCUGCACUCGGCCGUUCCACACCGCGCCUCUCCUGACUCGCUUUCAGAGAUCCACUGUCGUCAGCAAAGGGAGAGUGGGCCUGGAGCUUCCGGGAAAGUGCUCUGAGUUGGUGAAAGCUCCCGGAAUGGCAGGCAUUCACAGUUGCAAGUUGCCACCUGGAACCAAUCCACUGAAAGAACCUACAGAAUGGGAGACUGAAUCAGAACGCCGUGGGAGACCUGCAAAGGCAAUUGAAACCACAGUGGGGAAACUUGUUAUUGGAUUUUUUUGAAAAAAAUCUCAUGGCUUGUGACAUACUAGCAUUUGAGAAGGUCAGCUUCCUUGAGAAGUGGAUACUUUAAUAACAAGUAUCUCUCUUCAUAACAAACUUCAGUUGAUGCUGUAAUUGACUUGUACCUUUGAGAUUUUUAUUACUGUGGAUUUUCAUCAACAUUUCAGCUAACGGGCCAUUGAAUAAUAUUUGGUGGUGGUUGUCGUUUGAGAUGGCAGUGUGAACUAGGAGAUGCUGUCUAUUCCCAGGGUACCACAAGCGAUCCAUAACUGCAUAAAAAGUUUUGCAUGAUGAGUAGACAUUGGUGCAAUGGUGUCAAUGUGCUAAUACAUCUGUCUCA